UACGUAGGGGACAAGCGUUGUCCGGAUUUAUUGGGCGUAAAGAGCGUGUAGGCGGCCUGGUAGGUCAGUUGUGAAAACUCGAGGCUCAACCUCGAGACGCCGAUUGAAACCAUCAGGCUAGAGUCCGGAAGAGGAGAGUGGAAUUCCCGGUGUAGCGGUGAAAUGCGCAGAUAUCGGGAAGAACACCCGUGGCUAAGGCGGCUCUCUAGUACGGUACUGACGCUGAGACGCGAAAGCGUGGGGAGCGAACAGG
rnacentral:rRNA from 1 species